AUUGAACGCUGGCGGCAGGCCUAACACAUGCAAGUCGAGCGGUGGAAGGGAGCUUGCUCCUGGCUUCAGCGGCGGACGGGUGAGUAAUUCCUAGGAAUCUGCCUUGUAGUGGGGGAUAACGUCCGUAAACGGGCGCUAAUAUCGCAUACGUCCUGAGGGAGAAAGUGGGGGAUCUUCGGACCUCACGCUAUCAGAUGCGCCUAGGUCGGAUUAGCUGGUUGGUUGGGUAAUGGCCUACCAAGGCGACGAUCCUUAACUGGUCUGAGAGGCUGUUCAGUCACCCGGGAACUGGACCACGGUCCGGCCUCCUACGGGAGGCAGCAGUGGGGAAUAUUGGACAAUGGGCGAAAGCCUGAUCCAGCCAGGCCGCGUGUGUGAAGAAGGUCUUCGGAUUGUAAAGCACUUUAAGUUGGGAGGAAGGGCAGUAAGUUAAUACCUUGCUGUUUUGACGGUACCAACAGAAUAAGCACCGGCUAACUUCGUG
rnacentral:rRNA from 1 species